rnacentral:rRNA from 1 species
UACGUAGGGUGCGAGCGUUGUCCGGAAUUAUUGGGCGUAAAGGGCUCGUAGGCGGUCUGUCACGUCGGGAGUGAAAACUCAGGGCUUAACCCUGAACCUGCUUCCGAUACGGGCAGACUAGAGGUAUGCAGGGGAGAACGGAAUUCCUGGUGUAGCGGUGAAAUGCGCAGAUAUCAGGAGGAACACCGGUGGCGAAGGCGGUUCUCUGGGCAUUACCUGACGCUGAGGAGCGAAAGUGUGGGGAGCGAACAGG